UUGAUCCUGGCUCAGAAUCAACGCUGGCGGCGUGCCUAACACAUGCAAGUCGAACGAGAAAGUGGAGCAAUCCAUGAGUAAAGUGGCGACCGGGUGAGUUACACGUGACUAACCUACCUUCGAGUGGGGGAUAACCUCGGGAAACCGGGUCUAAUACCGCAUAAUGCCUUCGGGUUAAAGGAGCAAUUCGCUUGAAGAGUGGGUCGCGGCUGAUUAGCUAGUUGGCGGGGUAACGGCCCACCAAGGCGAUGAUCGGUAGCCGGCCUGAGAGGGCGCACGGCCACACUGGAACUGAAACAUGGUCCAGACUCCUACGGGAGGCAGCAGUGGGGAAUUUUGCGCAAUGGGGUAAACCCUGACGCAGCAACGCCGCGUGGAGGAUGAAGUCCCUUGGGACGUUAACUCCUUUCGACCGGGACGAUUAUGACGGUACCGGUGGAAGAAGCCCCUGCUAACUUCGUGCCAGCAGCCGCGGUAAUU
rnacentral:rRNA from 1 species